UUAGCCACACACGGGGCUAACAGCAACUAGCACCAUUCCGCCUUGCCGUCCGUCCGACAAACAACAAGCAGCGCAACACCUUACCUAUAACGUUGGCUGCCGUCGACUCAUCCGUGGGUGGCUCAACGUGAAACCGUUAUUCGUUCGUUCGUCCCCCCCACCCCAACCCGCCCCCGCUUGCAAACAGGGGGAAAAAGCUCGGACGUUAACCGUAGCCUACGGCAGUGUGACGUUCAUCGCCGCCUUUUGAAAACAUCGCAGCCUGCUCGUUCGUCCUCCUCCUCUCCAGCCGAGAAAAGACCAGCAUAAACACACCAACGGGAUGUCUGAUUGGUCCGUGAGACACACGUGACCUUGUCUGGCUCCUCUGGUUGGCCUACAGGAGCCCAUGUGACCCAGCCCCAGUGCUACACGGAGCUUAAAAAGUCCCUUCAAUCGAGGGUCGGAGCAGGCUGUCUACGUUCUCAGGUCUAAUGCGGGGUACAUUACGGAAGCAGUACGAGUAAAGGCCAAUCAACCGUAUUUACCCGGCGUUAAACAUUGGGCUGAUUUCAAGAUUGGAAAUGGAUGGCGGUGAAGCACUAUUCUGAAUGAGCUCAGCCCACAUUGUGUGUCCAGAACAGUGUUUUCAGGGAGAAAUGGUCGCAUUUUCACACACCAAAAAAAACUGUUGUUCUACUCAUUAUGAAAAACAGAAAAGGGUAGAAUCAUACUUUUUUUCUCCCGAAAGAUGAGAGUAGUCCUUCAUUUGGUAAGCUAAUUUUGUUUAUAUACAAGGUGAUUUAAAAACAAUGUGCUUCAAUCAUCACGCGAUAUGUCAAAAAUGAAAAAACAUUACAAAACUCUGGCAUAGGCAAAUGUGUUGAACAUAGCUUGAAGUAUUGUAAGUAUAUUGUAAGUAUAGCUUAAUGUAUUUCAAGUGCCGGUGAUGGCCACCUUUGAGCACUUGAUUAGAAAACUUGCAGUUACAUAAUUUUCGGAUUAUAAGCCGCUACUUUUUGUAUAUUAAUUGAAGUAAAUUUAGCUUGAGUCUUGAAAAAUGUCAAAAUACUCUAACCUGGCUGGUAGUAUGAGCUUGAUUGCUCUGAAAACAACUGGUAUUCAGUUUAAAAUUAUUUUAGGAUUGUUGUUUGCGCUAUGAUUUAUUGAUUGUUGCAUGUUUACAUCAUGAAAAAGGACAAUAAAAGACAUUUCCUCUCCUA